rnacentral:snRNA from 1 species
AUCGCUUCUCGGCCUUUUGGCUAAGAUCAAGUGUAGUAUCUGUUCUUAUCAGUUUAAUAUCUGAUACGUCCUCUAUCCGAGGACUAAAAAAAACAAAACAAAA